AGCGCUGGGCGCAGUCCCGUAGCCCGAGCCGGGGUUCCUAGGUGAGCAAACCUGGACCCCGAGCUGCGCGGUGCGGCAGGUGCGUGUGCCUCUCGGGAAGGCUAAAGCGAGAAGCCGCCCGCCGUCUCCUACAGGUGGAGGUUCUGUAGGAGGGAGGCUACUCUGCCGAGUUGCGUAGACAAUGGAGCCGACUCGCUUUGGGGUGGUGGUGCGGGCCGGCCUCUGCCUCACGCGCUCCGGGUGAGCCUAAAGAGAACGCUGGCCGCGGUUUUGGGUGGGCUGGAGGCGAGCCGGCGCGGUCCCCGCUUCACGCCGUUCCGCCGAUCCUGGUGAGGCCAGCACGUGGGCUUGAACACGAAUUAGGCUCCAGCGUGGCGGACUACCAGUGCCAUCGCCUGAUGUCCUAGAGACCACCGGUGUUGGCUGCCGUUGUGCUCGCCAGCACGUUCAGGUCUUGCUAGUAACUUAGGGCGAGGGAGUGUGUUACAGAGGCCAACCGCGCUACCACUCGUUGGCAAAACAGAAGUUAGUUUGGAAAUUAUCUAGAAGUAAGAUAAUUAUGGCUGUGUGUGUUCCGUGUGUUUAGAAAUCACAUGAUACUCGGUUUUCAAAUCCCAUCACCUAAAGGCUCCAAAGCAGCCUCCCGUUGUUUAGUAUUUUGACAGUCCCGCCCCGUCCUUGAGACCCAACACUCGUCCUUGAACCUCUCCAUGCCAGUGAGCGCUUACGUACUCCUAUGGCCCUGUCCAGCCACAUCCACAACUUACACCUCAACCUCUUUAGCAACCUCUUCAGCUUCAAGAUCUCAGCCCUAAAAAUUAAUUAAUUUUCUAAUUCCUCGUGAUAUCAAAUCCUUACUCCUCAGCCUCCAUGUGCGGGUUAUGAUUUUUUUUUUUUUUACCAUAAAAUGUUAUCAGGACUCUACUAAAGUAACUUGGAUAUUGAAGUCAUAUCAUUUCCUUAUGUAAAAGCAUGCAUUGAGCCAGUGGUGUAGGACACACUUAUAAUCCCAGCUGCUUGGGACGCUGAGGCAGAAGUCCUGGAAAGUUUGAGGCCAACCUGGGCAAUUUAGCCAGACCCUGUAUCUCAAAAUAAUACUAAAAGAAAGGAUGAGGCAGCAUAUGGAUCUUGCAUGGAGGUAGAGCACUUGCCUAACAUGUAAAAGUUCUUAGGUUAAAUCCCUAGCACUGCAAAAAUAAUAAAAACAACCCAGUGACUCCUUCUCCAAUUCAUAAAGCCUUUGUGGAUGUCAGUAUAAUUUUCAGCAUAUAUAAAUGUUUUGGGAUUCAGUGGCCACCAUAAAUGUGAAAGCAAUAUGGCAGCAAUAGUUCCAAGCUCAUCAUCCACUUAUACACCCUGUAUCUCAGACAAACUCAAGCAUAAUCAUCUAAAAUUUAAUCCAGGGGACACUGGAGAACCAGAGGACCUUUCAGAGGGUCCAUAAAGUGAAAACUUUACAUAAUAUAAGGCAUUAUUUGCCUUUUUAUACUCAACAUCUCGUUUUUUUUUAAUAGGUGGACACAAUAUCUUUGCUUUAUUUUUAUUUAUUUUUUUGUGGUGCUGAGGAUCAAACCCAGUGCCUCAUGCAUGCAAGGCAAGCACUCUCCCUCUGAGCCACAACCCCAGCCCCAACAUCUCUUUUUUUUUAAUUGUGGAUGGACACAAUAUAUGUUUGCUUUAUUUAUUUUUAUGUGGUGCUGAGGAUCGAAUCCAGUGCCUCACACAUGCUAGGCAAGUGCUCUACCGCUGAGCUACAACCAUAGCUUUCAUCAUCUUAUAUUUGUAUAGCAGUUUCACCAGAGACUGCCUGACUUACAUUAUUCCAAGAAACCGAAUGCAGAAGCAAAUUUCAAGAAUCUGGUAUUUUGUUAUCCUAGACUUGAAAAGAUUUUCAAAAAGGUAAAACAAUACCACUCACUUUAUUUUGGAAUAUUAUUUAUAAAAAUGUUAGGUUAACAUGUAAUGGGUCUAUAAUUGUAUCUCUGAGUGUUGUAGUGGGGAAUGGAACACAGGAAUGCCUACCACUGAGCUACAUCCCCUGUCCUUUAUGUUUUAUUUUCAAACAGACUCUGGUUAAAUUGCCCAGGAUAGCCUCAAACUUCUGAUUCUCCUGCCUCAACUUCUCAAGUUGCUAGAAUUUACAAGUGUGUGCCAAUUUGACUGGCUUAUCAUUUUUAAAUAAAUUACUAAGUGUGACAAGCAGAAUAAUGGUCCCCCAAAGAUGUCUACUUUUUCCUGAUCUCUGGAGUAUGUUAUCUUACAUAAUAAAAGGAAUUCUGUAGAUAUGAUUAAUGAUCUCUUGCAGGGCUCUGUAGUGCACACCUGUAAUCUCAGGGACUCUAAUCCCAGGGAAGCUGAUGGAGAAGCAUUGCAAUUCAGGACCAACUUCAGCAACUUAGUAAGACCCUGUCUCGAAACAAAAAAAUAUGAAGCUGAUAACAGCUCAGUGACAAAGCAUCCCUGGGUUCGAUCCUCAGCACCAAAAAAAAAAAAGUUGAGAACAAGACACCAAGAGAUCAGCAUCUGGCAUAUAUUGAUUUUAGCCCUGUGAAACUCAUUUUGGACUUCUUACCACAGAACUAUAAGAUAAUUUUUGUCAUUUAAGCAACUGUUUAUGGCAACUUGAUAGAGCAGUCAUAGGAAAUUGACACAAUAACUUUAAUUUUUCUCAAUUUUCAAUACCAUAAAUACCAAUAGAUGCAAUCCAUAUAAGUGAAAGUUCUUGAGGAUGAAUUUUUUUUUUUUAAAUGGGACUGUGCUUUUUUGCCCAGACUGGUCUCAAACUCAAGAGCUCAGUGAUCCUCCUGCCUCAGCCGCCCAAGUUGCUUGUAAAGCACAGACUGCCAUACCUCGCUCCUCAGUAACUUUUAAGAGUGUAAAAGGUUCUAAAACCAAAAAUUUAAGAACCACCCCUCUAAAUGAAUGUCCUUACCUUAGUUAAAAUCCUCCCCAUUGUUAAGGUCCAUCUUACAAUGUACCUCCUCAUUCCAGAUCGCUCCAACCAGAAGCUUCCCUCCUCUCCUUUGAUCUGCCCCAGUGAGCCCCUAUGUUGUCUUAAUUAUGUUCUAUACUUGUGACCUUAUUGAGUGUGACUCUUGAGACAAGGUGUUUGGUCCUUACCCAUUUCCACCAGUCAAUAAAUGUUGUAUAUGCAUGGACUAUCUCUGGGUGUUUCUUACGAAGAAGAUGUCACAGAAUAGGGUUUCAUUGCUGGUUUUCCCCAUUUGAAUGAAUGAAUAUCAGAAAAGUAUGUAUGAUUACUAAUUUUCAGGAAUAAAAUAAGGAAUGUAGGAUGAUUGA
rnacentral:lncRNA from 1 species